rnacentral:lncRNA from 1 species
UGAUGAUUUAAUUUUUUUUUUUUUUUUGCAUAUUAAUUAGGCUUAAUUUUCAUAAAUUGCCAGCAGUGAAAGAGCUAAUAAAAAAGAAUAAUACAUUGGAUGUACCUGCAGCAGCUUCAGGCAUGGGAUGCAAGAAUACAAAAGCAUGUGCUAAAAGCGGCUCUCAUCGUGGCACUUAUGCAAAGAGCAAAUACAUACAAUCUAAAUUUUAAAUGGGACAAGCAAAAAUUAAUUAAGCAGAUGGAUGAUGACCAAGGACAAACCACUGAGGAUGUGCAAAUAUACAGAGUGUAUUUUAGUAUCUGUACCACCCUUUUUUCAGAAAUGCAAUAAGGUAGAAAGCAGGGAGAGGAAUUUUGAUGACCAAAGUAUAUAUUGGAGAAUCGAAUGGUCACAAUAAAAAUUUUAUGGACCUACUGGAAUUAGG